CCUCCUAAAAACACAGUAAACACGUAUCCGCCGGCUUUCGAGCCAAACGUGCCGCGACAUACAAGAGGACCAAUGGCUCGCGUGUUUUUACGUAAUUACGUGUACAUGCCAGGCGACACGCGUGUGCAUAAUUAAAACCCGUGUCUCUCUCUCGCACGAGCGCAUCGUCGGGGAAGCUGAGGACAGUGCGCGACGAGUGUAAUGAGCUCCGACAGACUUUAAACUGUUCCUUAUUAGCCGAUUUCUCUGCCGAGUGUUCCGAGAGUCUGUCGAGAGAAAUAAUACAACAAUGCUCAAUAGUUUAACACGACGCUUCUCAACGCGAGGACUUCACGGAAACGCUGUGGACCGAACGUGAAAGGGUAUUUGCGAAUCGACCAGUAAAGAGACGUCAAUGGAAGAAAAAAAAUCGCGCGAAACUCAACGGCCUCUCGUCCUCGAAGUGUUUUUGAAAAGUUACUGAGGAAACAGCGGUUCUGUCACUAACAUUGCGCUGGAAACAGUUUUCGGAAAUUUAAAAUUUUUUUUUCAAAAGUUCGGGAAAGUUACUGAGAGAACAGAAAAAUGUUCACCCUAAGUGUGCGAUAAUACACUCAGGAACAUAAAGAGAUGCAACUGGGAUGCAACUAGCGAGUCCAGGGAGAAUGCUUCCUCUUUCGCGUGCCAUUCCCCUUCAGUCGUGAUCGUUUGUUGGGCGUCAAUGAAAGGAAAGCUUGAAUCAUAUUCAUGUUUCUUCUUCUGUGUUUACAAAGCGCGAGCCCGAGUAAGCGGCACUAAGCCGCGUCACUCGGGCUGCGUUCCAAAACUCUACUCCGAGUAGCGGAGUUAACUCAACAUCGUUCUAAAAUGUGGUGUAACAUACUAGAUGGGCGGAGCCAAAUCGUUCAGAAAAUCAGAGUGGACUAUACUCAGAGUCAACUCUUAUAACUCUAACUACAAGGAGAGUUACAGAAACUUUUGCUGCGGAUCACGCUCGCGUCUGAUUCGUAACGGGAUAAUAAAUCGCCGAGUUGCCAGGUGGAGAGGAGGCAAGUACCGAUCAAGGAAGGAAAAGAUAAGUGCGAGAACUCGGCGGGGACUCCAUUAUGUUCCUCUUGAACCCGAACGCAAUUAGAAGCACGUAUCUUUAAUUACGCACGUGAACAGGCCGCGUACGUGGAGCUCUUGGGAAUAAACUUUGAUAUUUAAGUGGAGAGAAACUCGGUGGAUGUCUCGGGGAGCUUUGUUACGUCCUGCCGCAGGUAAUCGGAACUGAGAACGAGGCGAGGAGGACUCUCGUGGCUGCUUAACCCUUUCGAGAUCCCCGUUCAUGCGUUUGACCUGGACACUCGUCGAUUCUUGCUCGAGGUACCGUCAGUUCCACGGCAUUCCGACGCCGGCGUUCUCGCGUCGGCGGGGAACGCUUAAAAACGCGUUACGCACGUUCCCGGCGCAGCGUUCAAUUACGAAACUGGAAAGAAAUGCAAAUACGUGCGACAAGUGCGCGAAUCUCGUCUCGAGAUUUCUUAUAAUUCCCACGUAAAUCAUAGUAUCUAUUAACGGCCACCGAGACGGCGAUUGCGAUAGGCACUAAUCGACGUGUACACGAUGUUAUUUUAUGCUCGUCAAUCGGCUGAUUUCUUGCACUCUUGACCCAUUAAGGGCUCUGAGUUUGUGUUAGGCAUGAAUGAAAAGAAUUUCUUUGGAAUCGUUUCACAAAGAAAUUAUAAAUCAUACACAUUUUUAGACUUUUCCAGUAUAUUUUUAUGCAGAGAAAAUCAAGCUUCAAGGAAGUUACAUGGUUUUUAUAAUUUUUUUGUAAAACAAUUCCAAAGAAACUUUUUUAAUUCAUGCCUACAAACUAUCCAACGUCUCAAAGACCUUCUCUCUACUAACGGGACAUAUCCUACCGUUAAUAAUAACUUUAUUCAAUUGAAUAAACAGCUUUGUUGAUAUUCAGAACAUAUCAGCUAUCACUCUAUUUAUUACAAAUGUGUCCUUCUAAAAAUCUCAGUGGUACAUCAGUGGCACAGCCCUAU